AAUACCCCCUCACAUUCACCAAAAGAUCUAUAACACUUAUACCCCCUUCACAAUUAACCAGGACAAGUUUUACUGGAGGAACUCCCCUACUGGCCAAUUCACCACUAAAGAUUCUUACUUAAUAUACCAAGAUAGCAUUGCCAAUCAUAUCCAACCACCUGAAUUUGAGCAUCAAUGGAUCUGGUCCUUAAAAUGUCCCGACAAACUCAGAUUCUUCCUCAGGCUACUCCUUCACAAUCAGCUACUUACAGCAGCACAUCUUGCAAGUAGGAAAAUAAUAAACAACUAAAAUUGCAAACACUGUCAUGCUCCAGAGCACAUGUAUCACAUAUUCUUUCAAUGCCCUAAAGGAGCCCCAGUAUGGCCCUUCUUCAACUUCAAUAUUCCAAGGCUAUCAGACUAUAUCUCUUAGAUAAAGGACAACUGGAAAUCUGAUAAUACUAUCCUCUACCAAAGCACACCUAUUCCUUUCUCUAUCCUCAUCCCCUACACAUUUUGGCACAUCUGGAUUGACAGAAAUCAUAACAUAUUCAACAAUACCAACAUGCAUACGGACAACCAGUUUGUAAUUAACAAAGCCCUUGAAUAUGUUUAGUUAUCCUCCACCACCACUACUAAUCACAAUACUUCGAGCCAAUGUGGGAAUAAGUGGACAGCACCCCCUCAUAACCUUUAUAAACUCAACAUUGAUGGUUCAUACAACAAUGCAACAACCCAAGGUGGUGCAGAGGCGUAAUAUGCAAUCCUUCAGGGCAAUGGAUAGUAGGAUUUGCAAAAUCCAUCACAACUCAAUCAGCUCUACACUCUGAAAUACAAGCUCUGCUAUCGAAGUUAGAAUUGGCAUUUACAAAGAUUCUAUUCCCACUCAUAGUGGAAACAAAUUCUAAGGUUCCUGCUCCAAGCAUUGGAGAACGCUCUGGCACAACACGUAUGCCGUGAUGCAAAUCAAACUGCAGAUCGAUUGGCAAAACAUGGGAGCUCCUUACAAGUCCAAACUCAUGUGAUGGAAGAAAAAAUAUUUUGGAACACCUCUCUUCCCUUUAUCGCAUCUUUCAUUAACAAAGACUAUUUAGGGAUAGAAUCGUUUAGAUCUAUCCCCGCAUUGUAAAGACCUUUUACUUUCUGCACUUUAUUUCAGCUAUAAAAUCUCCUCUUCUCAGCCAAAAAAAAUAAAAAUAAAAAAUCUAGACAUAAAGAAAAAGGACAUUAGUCUUGUCAUGCUCAAAAUUUAGCACUUGUACUAGAAUCAAACGUGGCACUAAAACUUCUUCAUCCAUAAAAGAGAUAGAAAGAAAGAGCACAAAGUAGGAAGGAGCCAAAACAUUUUGAGGCC